GACGUAGGGGGCGAGCGUUGUCCGGAUUUAUUGGGCGUAAAGCGCGCGCAGGCGGCUCGCUCAGUCGGAUGUGAAAACCUGAGGCUCAACCUCAGGCCUGCAUUCGAUACUGGCGAGCUCGAGGCAGGUAGGGGAGAUCGGAAUUCCCGGUGUAGCGGUGAAAUGCGCAGAUAUCGGGAGGAACACCGGUGGCGAAGGCGGAUCUCUGGGCCUGUCCUGACGCUCAGGCGCGAAAGCUGGGGGAGCGAACAGG
rnacentral:rRNA from 1 species